GCAAGAGGUGUUAGAGUCCCCAGCAGGGGUUAGAGUCCCCAGGAGGUGUUAGAGUCCCCAUCAGGGGUUAGAUUCCCCUGGUGCCAAGCAGACAUGCUGGCAGGAGACCCCGAAGGUAUGGAUAGUACUGAUCCACUGGGGAAACAGUGGAUGCCUUUUGGACGGCAACCAGGAUUUCUUCGGUUAAGUGUGAAUGAGCAGUAUAUUAUCUUUCCUCUACUUGCAAUAACGGUAAAGAGGAGAAGUCAGAAGAAAGAAGAGUAA
rnacentral:lncRNA from 1 species